rnacentral:rRNA from 1 species
GAUGAACGCUGGCGGCGUGCCUAAUACAUGCAAGUCGAGCGAACAGAUGAGGAGCUUGCUCCUCUGACGUUAGCGGCGGACGGGUGAGUAACACGUGGAUAACCUACCUAUAAGACUGGGAUAACUUCGGGAAACCGGAGCUAAUACCGGAUAAUAUAUUGAACCGCAUGGUUCAAUAGUGAAAGACGGUUUUGCUGUCACUUAUAGAUGGAUCCGCGCCGCAUUAGCUAGUUGGUAAGGUAAAGGCUUACCAAGGCAACGAUGCGUAGCCGACCUGAGAGGGUGAUUGACCACAUGGUAAGUGAGACACGGUCGAGACUCCUACGGUAGGCAGCAGUAGGGAAUCUUCCGCAAUGGGGGAAAGCCUGACGGAGCAACGCCGCGUGAGUGAUGAAGGUCUUCUGAUCGUAAAACUCUGUUAUUAGGGAAGAACAAAUGUGUAAGUAACUAUGCACGUCUUGACGGUACCUAAUCAGAAAGCCACGGCUAACUACGUG